rnacentral:lncRNA from 1 species
UUUCAGAAAAAUAUAGUGUAUAAGAUAAAAUAAUCCCAAAAAAAUAAUUAAAGUGGCCUUAUUACAACCCAAAACAAAAUAAUAACUUAUAAAGAAAUAAUUCGGCUACUUAUUGCAAUUAAAAGAAACAGAAACAGUAGUGUGGCCAUCUCCGAGUCCCUCGCAGCUCCAAACCAUCUAAGCUUAGGGAUUACCUGCACAGUUAGAAACGGGGUAAGUUUAUGAAAACUCAGUGUGUAAUCCCCAACAACAAACAAAUAGUGAAUAACAUAGUGUAAGUACAAUCUGGGCCAAAGCCCUAUUCAGUAACAGUACAGUCUGGGCCUUAGCCCUUAAACAGUAGCAAUAUGAGCCUAAGCCCUAAUUCAGUCUCGACAUAUACUGGGCCGAAGCCUUUUCUGUAAACGGUAUGGCCCUUAGGCCCAUUUCAAUAUCACAUGUAAUAUCAAUGAAUGUAUGCAAGCCCAUUUGAGGAGACUACUCAACCCACCAUCCGCUACUCUCCACCCGUACCAACCAACACACCAUGUGGGGAACAACUCAACCCACUCAACCAAACUCUCCACUGGCAGCAUAGCUGCUUUAUCAUAUAACUAGAGGCCUAGCCUCUUUUAAUAACUGGGGCAAAGCCCUUUUUGAUAAACUGGGGCAAAGCCCUUUUCGAUAAACUGGGGCAUAGCCCUUUUAGCACUUCCUCCAUUUAUAAAACCCAACCCAUGCAACAUGUCAUGUAUGCAGAAUGUCAUGCCCAUAUUUGAAUCAAACAAUCACAGUCAAGUCAUUCAUAUCCCCAACAUAUAUUCAUAAUCAAAUCCAUCAACCACACAGUCCAAGUCAGUUACUUGCCCACAAGGGCAAAACAGUCAUUUUUCAUAUUAUAAGGGUAAAUUCAUAAUUUUACCAAAUAUCAUGGUUUUCCAUGUUCAUUAACAAUUAUCAAUAUUUCUGAGUGUUCAAACAAUGAUCUUUGACCCACUUUAUCAAAUUCGGGCUUUUGGGCCCAAAACCAUGGGCCUGCUUAAUCCAAAUUUUACAACAAUGCUAACCGUGUUAACAUGCAACUUUUCCAAAUUCCAUUUUCUAUCAAUUUUACCCAAAUGGGCCCAAAAGCCCAUUUGGCCCAAUUCCAGCCCAUUGAGGCCUAACUUACCAUCGUGCACAAAAUUGAGUUCUUACCCGUUCCAUCGAUCCAAACACCGAUCUUAUCGUAUUUAUCACAUCUAUACCCACACACAACAUUACAAGUUCCCAAAAUGCCGGUAUUUUAGCAUUUCGGCUUCUCAGCAGAUAUUAAUCUAAGCUACUACGAGGGUUAAUACACACUUGUUAUGGGUUGAAGUUGAAACGUUUCCAUAAUCAAUCACCUACGAUAACCACCACCUGUCACUCAAACUUAACUAAUCCAAUAUCAAUAUAUGUAAAUCCUAAGCACAUCAGUCAUACGGAACAUAAGGGCAUAUUCGUCAUUUUACCAUACAAGGGUAUUAUGAUCACUUUACCCUACAGGGGCUUUACGGUCUUUUUACCUAUUAGGGGUAUUUUAGUCAUUUCAUCCUAUAAGGGUGUUUUGGUAAAUCUACAAACCAAGGGUAUUUUAGUAAUUUUGUAAACCAAUGGUAUUUCUAUAAUUUUUAGAAAUUUAACGGCCUUUCUGUAAUUUUCUAAAUUAGGGGUAUUUUGGUAAUUUUACAAAUUGAGGGUAUUUCGGUAAUUUCACAAACUAGUGGUAUUUCGGUAAUUUUACAAACUAGGGGUAUUUUGAUAAUUUUACACACUAGGGGUAUUUUGGUAAUUCUAUCAUAUAGGGGUAUUUCAGUAAUUUCACAAUCGAGGGUAAAACAGUAAUUUUGUAAACUGAGGGUAAAAUGGUAAUUUUGUAAAUCGAGGGUAAAACGGUAAUUUUGUAAAUUGAGGGUAAAAUGGUAAUUCUAUAAAUCGAGGGUAAAACGGUAAUUUUGUAAAUCGAUGGUGAAACAGUAAUUCUAUAAAUCGAGGGUAAAAUGGUAAUUCUACAAAUCGAGGGCAUUUCAGUAAUUUGGUAAACUAAAGUAUUCUAAACAGGGAUAAUAAUACGAAUGGGCCUAAAGCCUAUUCUCGGCCCAAAUGGGCCCACACGCUCGUAUGGCCCUUUUAGCCCAAAUCUAGCCACAAAUAUGAGAUUCACCUAGCCUAGUCCAAUAUUUACUACACAAUCAAACAACUUAUCCAAUUGGGCCCAUAGGCCCAUUAGGCCCACAUGACCCCUUUUGGCCCAUCGCGGCCCGAAGUAGCCAUCCUACAGCUAGAGUAGCGAGAAAAUACACACCUGAUUGGAGAUUGGAGUUAAUCCACGCUCCGAGCACUCUUAGCCGGCGCCCAACCCAAACGAGCACGCCAUAUAGCGAAAGGGAUCAGCCAAGAAAGGU